UACGAAGGUGGCAAGCGUUGUUCGGAUUCACUGGGCGUACAGGGAGCGUAGGCGGUUGGGUAGGCCCUCCGUGAAAUCUCCGGGCCCAACCCGGAAAGUGCAGAGGGGACUGCUCGGCUAGAGGACGGGAGAGGAGCGCGGAAUUCCCGGUGUAGCGGUGAAAUGCGUAGAGAUCGGGAGGAAGGCCGGUGGCGAAGGCGGCGCUCUGGAACGUUUCUGACGCCGAGUCUCGAAAGCGUUGGGAGCAAACAGG
rnacentral:rRNA from 1 species